rnacentral:rRNA from 1 species
GUAGGGAAUAUUGGUCAAUGGACGAAAGUCUGAACCAGCCAUUCCGCGUGCAGGAAGAAGAUUCUAUGGAUUGUAAACUGCUUUUAGCAGAGAAGAAACGCCUUCAUUGAUGAGGGUUUGACGGUAUCUGCGGAAUAAGCACCGGCUAACUCCGUGCCAGCAGCCGCGGUAAUACGGGGGGUGCAAGCGUUAUCCGGAAUCACCGGGUUUAAAGGGUGCGUAGGCGGGAAAUUAAGUCAGUGGUGAAAGUCUGGUGCAUAACGAUAGAAUUGCCGUUGAUACGGAGUUUCGUGAAUUGGGUUGAGGUGAGCGGAAUGUGACAUGUAGCGGUGAAGUGCAUAGAUAUGUCAUGGAACACCAAUUGCGAAGGCAGCUAGCUGGGCCUUGAUUGACGCUGAGGCACGAAAGCGUGGGUAGCGAACAGGAUUAGAUACCCCUGUAGUCC